GCUCUGGGUGAUGCGUUUCCUGUCAAGAGGACUGGGAUCCCUAGAGGACACGGCGGGCCUCUCAGGUGUGCUGCUACCACCAGAGGGUGAGAGGGUGGUGGUGGUGGUGGUGGUGUCAGGAGCCACACACAGCUCUUUGGGUCCUAGUUCCUCCGUAUGAAGAAGAGCCAUCCUGGGUCUGAGUCCUGGCUGGUUUCACGAUGAGAGACUGACGUCACUCUUUCACAGAUUAGUUAAUUAUACUCUUUUCCCAGAGGCCUCGUCGUAGGACACACACAGGUGUCUCUCAUAAUACUGAUUAUGGGUGUUACUUUGAUGCAACAGGGCACUGUUAGGCCCCGUUUACACGAAGGGAAAACGCAGAUAUUUCCACGCGGUUUGGCCUCUCAUUUACACGAAAACGCAGUUUUUGUCACAGAAAACGAUCAUUUCUAAAAACUCCGGCCAAUGUGGAGAUUUCUGAAAACGCCGGUUAUGUGUUGACGUGUCGACGGGGGGAAACGGGGUUUUAGCAGAGAAUGUCUAAUAUGAGGAGAACUGGCACUCGCGGGUUAGUUCCGGUUUUCUGGACUGGUUGCAGUAAUAAUCUUUGGGGCGCUCGUAGGCGAGUCCAGAAUGAAUGGGAGCCAACGGGGUUUUAUCCUCAGAAUCCACUUUUCUCACGAUGUAAUUUUUUGUCAAGUAAUUUGAAAGUUGCUAUCAAAGGGUGGGGCUAAGAUAAUAAACUCAGCUGAAUAUUGCAUUUUUUAAGGUCACGUAUCUGUUCUAAAAAGGCUUUAAAAACAUGCGAUGACGUCACACUGUAAUACUGUCAGAGGUACUGCUUUACGGCAGUUUCUAAAGCACUUUCCUUUUCCCGCAACGAUAACACCAGCUGUUGGAGUCGGACCUUGAUGCUGUGACAACGGACAAGUCUUCUUCCUCUGUCCUUUUCCCCUGCCUCUGUUCAGCAUGUUCAGUGUUGUUAAAUCAUUUCUCUUUUUUUUUAUUAGUUACUGUUCUUAUUGUGUUCUUGUUACUGUGAUGUUUUAAUAAACUUGCCUGUUGC
ensembl:lncRNA